rnacentral:rRNA from 1 species
GGGCUUGACAUCCCACGAACCUGAUGAAAGUCUGGGGUGCCCCGCAAGGGGAGCCUGGAGACAGGUGUUGCAUGGCUGUCGUCAGCUCGUGUCGUGGGAUGUUGGGUUAAGUCCCGCAACGAGCGCAACCCUCACGUGAUGUUGCCAGCGUAAAGACGGGAACUCUUCACGAACUGCCCGGGUAACCGGGAGGAAGGUGGAGAUGACGUCAAGUCAGCAUGGCCCUUACGUCCUGGGCUUCACACAUGCUACAAUGGGCGCGACAGAGGGCAGCGAACCCGCGAGGGGGAGCCAAUCCCAGAAAGGCGCUCUCAGUUCGGAUUGCAGGCUGCAACUCGCCUGCAUGAAGUCGGAAUCGCUAGUAACCGCCGGUCAGCUAAACGGCGGUGAAUACGUUCCCGGGCCUUGUACACACCGCCCGUCACGUCACGAAAGCCGGCUGUACUCGAAGUCGCUGAG